UUCUCCAUUAGACAACCGAGCCAUCCUCUCCUGCACCCAAUGCUGGACCAUCAUCACCUGUUCCAGCUGCUGCUCCAUCAUCCCCUCCUCUAGCUCCAACUCCUACAUCUACAGCUGGUGAGCAUCAUCCUGCCUCCCCUCACAUGCCCAUAAUGCCUCAUACUUUUCCUAUAGAAGGGGUUAUGGAUCAGAUGAUGGAUCGC
rnacentral:lncRNA from 1 species